rnacentral:rRNA from 1 species
ACACAUGCAAGUCGAACGAAGCAAUCUAACGGAAGUUUUCGGAUGGAAGUUAGAUUGACUGAGUGGCGGACGGGUGAGUAACGCGUGGGUAACCUGCCUCACACUGGGGGACAACAGUUAGAAAUGACUGCUAAUACCGCAUAAGCGCACAGGACCGCAUGGUCCGGUGUGAAAAACUCCGGUGGUGUGAGAUGGACCCGCGUUUGAUUAGCUAGUUGGUGGGGUAACGGCCUACCAAGGCGACGAUCAAUAGCCGACCUGAGAGGGUGACCGGCCACAUUGGGACUGAGACACGGCCCAAACUCCUACGGGAGGCAGCAGUGGGGAAUAUUGCACAAUGGGGGAAACCCUGAUGCAGCGACGCCGCGUGAGUGAAGAAGUAUUUCGGUAUGUAAAGCUCUAUCAGCAGGGAAGAAAAUGACGGUACCUGACUAAGAAGCCCCGGCUAACUACGUGCCAGCAGCCGCGGUAAUACGUAGGGGGCAAGCGUUAUCCGGAUUUACUGGGUGUAAAGGGAGCGUAGACGGUAAAGCAAGUCUGAAGUGAAAGCCCGGGGCUCAACCCCGGGACUGCUUUGGAAACUGUUUAACUAGAGUGCUGGAGAGGUAAGCGGAAUUCCUAGUGUAGCGGUGAAAUGCGUAGAUAUUAGGAGGAACACCAGUGGCGAAGGCGGCUUACUGGACAGUAACUGACGUUGAGGCUCGAAAGCGUGGGGAGCAAACAGGAUUAGAUACCCUGGUAGUCCACGCCGUAAA